rnacentral:rRNA from 1 species
AUAACCCCGGGAAACUGGGGAUAAUACCCCAUAGACUAUGAAUGCUGGAAUGCUUUGUAGUCGAAAGGUGAGCCGCCUUAGGAUGGGUCUGCGGCCGAUUAGGUUGUUGUUGGGGUAACGGCCCAACAAGCCUGUAAUCGGUACGGGUUGUGGGAGCAAGAGCCCGGAGAUGGAUUCUGAGACACGAAUCCAGGCCCUACGGGGCGCAGCAGGCGCGAAAACUUUACAAUGCGGGAAACCGUGAUAAGGGAACUCCGAGUGCCCGUAAAAUCGGGCUGUCCAUUUGUUUAAAAAACAAGUGAAGAAAGGGCCGGGCAAGACCGGUGCCAGCCGCCGCGGUAAUACCGGCGGCUCGAGUGGUGGCCACUAUUACUGGGCUUAAAGCGUUCGUAGCUGGUUUGUUAAGUCUCUGGGGAAAUCUUCCGGCUUAACCGGAAGGCGUCUCAGGGAUACUGGCAGACUAGGGACCGGGAGAGGUGAGGGGUACUCCAGGGGUAGGAGUGAAAUCCUGUAAUCCUUGGGGGACCACCUGUGGCGAAGGCGUCUCACUAGAACGGCUCCGACAGUGAGGGACGAAAGCUGGGGGAGCAAACCGGAUUAGAUACCCGGGUAGUCCCAGCUGUAAACGAUGCGCGUUAGGUGUAUCGGUGACCACGAGUCACCGAGGUGCCGAAGGGAAACCGUGAAACGUGCCGCCUGGAAGU